rnacentral:lncRNA from 1 species
AGCGGCGGUGGCGGCGACGGCUGUUGCUGAGCCCCGGCAGCCGCGAGGACCCCGGGCUGGGGCCACGCGGGCCUGAGGCCUCGGCUCCAGCAGCCCCCAAGCGGACGCGAACCCGCGCUCUGUCUCCCAAGGCGAAGCUCCGAGAUGAAAAAAAAAAAGAAAGUCCGUUUCUUGUCAGUGAUGCACAGUCUCAGGUAUGGAUCUUUGGCGGGUGUUCUUAACCCUGGCACUGGCAGUCUCCAGCGACAUGUUUCCUGGAAGUGGGGCUACACCAGCUACUCUUGGCAAAGCUUCCCCGGUUCUGCAAAGAAUUAAUCCAAGCCUGAGGGAAAGUUCCUCUGGAAAGCCUCGAUUCACCAAGUGUCGUUCCCCUGAACUGGAGACCUUUUCAUGCUACUGGACAGAAGGGGAUGAUCAUAAUUUAAAGGUCCCGGGAUCUAUUCAGCUAUACUAUGCUAGAAGAAUUGCUCAUGAAUGGACCCCGGAAUGGAAAGAAUGCCCUGAUUAUGUCUCUGCUGGAGCAAACAGCUGUUACUUCAACUCAUCGUAUACCUCCAUUUGGAUACCCUACUGCAUUAAGCUUACUACAAAUGGUGAUUUGUUGGACGAAAAGUGUUUCACUGUUGAUGAAAUAGUGCAACCUGAUCCGCCCAUUGGCCUCAACUGGACUUUACUAAACAUCAGUUUGCCUGGGAUCCGUGGAGAUAUCCAAGUGAGUUGGCAGC